UUUGAAAUGUAAUUCCAAAUUGUUGGGUUACUUCAUUAAUUAUUACUGAAGUUAUUUAUUUUAUUUGUAAUACUUGUAGAUACGAUUUUUGGGUAUUUGCGCAUACAUGUAACGUUGCGCUCUUAUGAAUUGCUAUAUUUCCCGUUUUUAAAGUUUUAUGACGUUUAGCCUUUUACGUACGUUACGUUGUCUAUAGUUUUUAUUCAUUACAAAUUAUUUGAUUACGGAGACACAUCGUUAUUUAUAGAGAGAUCAUAAUCGAGAAUCGGUUGAUAUAAUAUAUGAGUAUAAGAAGCCAAAAUUAAGUGUAAUUUUGAGGAAUAAAAGAUACAUAUUUAUACCGCA